UCCUCCUCUUGCAGCUCACUGCCGCUGCCGUUGCCAUUCGCAUCUCGCCGGAGCCGAGUCCUUUACUGGAGUCCCACGACACCGGUGAACCUCCUGUGCCUUCUUUUCUUCGAGAAAUAGGACCCCCUCGUCCUUAGGCACCUCUAUGACAUGAAUGUUUUUGCCCUAGGAUCGCCGGAGCAACGUCCCGUUUGACCCUGCGUCACCGGAGUUCGCCGGGGCACGGGGACUUUGCCGCCUUCGUCUGCUCCGUCCGCUCGUCGCCGCCAACCGCCGUGACCACCAUUCGGCCGCCACCGUCGAUCCCUGCCCUCCCGACCACCUCGCCAACACAGGAGUCCACCGGAGCCGCCGCCCUACCGACGUCGAUCUUCUCCAUGAAGCUGAAACGAGCUCCUCGUGUGUGUAGGCACUCGCCUCGCUCGUUCUGUAGAUUAGUUUGUUUUUUUAGAUCGAAGGGGUAUUUUGGUUAACCGUGGUUUCCCUAAACCGUACGGUUUAUUUUAAGCUGAACGUUAGUUUUUCUUUUAGUUUAGCCAAACUGGGUCGUUUUAUCUAAAGAAUGAACUUCCGCCGCAUAACAUCCGCAGCGCGCGCAGAUAACCAACCCGAGCCGGCAACGUCGCGCUCUAUGCACGAACGUGCAGUUUCUAGCAUUUUUAGAAAAAUGCUGCCGUAGCAUUUUUUUCGGGAUUUGUUUCAAAUCUUCAAACACCCAUAAUUUUUUAACCGUAGAUCCAAACGAGAUGAGACGAGUGGUUAGUUUUUCGCCUCGAAUAGCUUUAUCCAUAUAACCUAACAUUGCAAAAUUUUGCCAGUUCAAAUUUAAAUUUAUUUCAGAUUUGAAUUUAAACUUCAUUAGGCUAUAUCUCUUAAAUGGUAUGUCCGUUUGAAAUGAUUCUUUUUACACCGCGUCAGACGAACUAAAUCCUAGGACAUGGGCCUUGCCAUAGUAUAUUUUAAAAAAUUAGUUGUUGUUCAUCAUAAUAUUACUAGUAUGGCUUGUAGGCACAUUAGUGCACGCCGCGGAUUUUGGGCAAUGUUUUCACUGUUGGUUUUAUACUUUGAAAAACUUUUAUGCUAACAUCGUGUGUUGGAUUUUAUUUGGCUUUUAUGAAUAUUUU
rnacentral:lncRNA from 1 species